GGGUUGUGAGGUUAAGCGACUAAGCGUACACGGUGGAUGCCCUGGCAGUCAGAGGCGAUGAAGGACGUGCUAAUCUGCGAUAAGCGUCGGUAAGGUGAUAUGAACCGUUAUAACCGGCGAUUUCCGAAUGGGGAAACCCAGUGUGUUUCGACACACUAUCAUUAACUGAAUCCAUAGGUUAAUGAGGCGAACCGGGGGAACUGAAACAUCUAAGUACCCCGAGGAAAAGAAAUCAACCGAGAUUCCCCCAGUAGCGGCGAGCGAACGGGGAGGAGCCCAGAGCCUGAAUCAGUGUGUGUGUUAGUGGAAGCGUCUGGAAAGGCGCGCGAUACAGGGUGACAGCCCCGUACACAAAAAUGCACAUGCUGUGAGCUCGAUGAGUAGGGCGGGACACGUGGUAUCCUGUCUGAAUAUGGGGGGACCAUCCUCCAAGGCUAAAUACUCCUGACUGACCGAUAGUGAACCAGUACCGUGAGGGAAAGGCGAAAAGAACCCCGGCGAGGGGAGUGAAAAAGAACCUGAAACCGUGUACGUACAAGCAGUGGGAGCACGCUUAGGCGUGUGACUGCGUACCUUUUGUAUAAUGGGUCAGCGACUUAUAUUCUGUAGCAAGGUUAACCGAAUAGGGGAGCCGAAGGGAAACCGAGUCUUAACUGGGCGUUAAGUUGCAGGGUAUAGACCCGAAACCCGGUGAUCUAGCCAUGGGCAGGUUGAAGGUUGGGUAACACUAACUGGAGGACCGAACCGACUAAUGUUGAAAAAUUAGCGGAUGACUUGUGGCUGGGGGUGAAAGGCCAAUCAAACCGGGAGAUAGCUGGUUCUCCCCGAAAGCUAUUUAGGUAGCGCCUCGUGAAUUCAUCUCCGGGGGUAGAGCACUGUUUCGGCAAGGGGGUCAUCCCGACUUACCAACCCGAUGCAAACUGCGAAUACCGGAGAAUGUUAUCACGGGAGACACACGGCGGGUGCUAACGUCCGUCGUGAAGAGGGAAACAACCCAGACCGCCAGCUAAGGUCCCAAAGUCAUGGUUAAGUGGGAAACGAUGUGGGAAGGCCCAGACAGCCAGGAUGUUGGCUUAGAAGCAGCCAUCAUUUAAAGAAAGCGUAAUAGCUCACUGGUCGAGUCGGCCUGCGCGGAAGAUGUAACGGGGCUAAACCAUGCACCGAAGCUGCGGCAGCGACGCUUAUGCGUUGUUGGGUAGGGGAGCGUUCUGUAAGCCUGUGAAGGUGUGCUGUGAGGCAUGCUGGAGGUAUCAGAAGUGCGAAUGCUGACAUAAGUAACGAUAAAGCGGGUGAAAAGCCCGCUCGCCGGAAGACCAAGGGUUCCUGUCCAACGUUAAUCGGGGCAGGGUGAGUCGACCCCUAAGGCGAGGCCGAAAGGCGUAGUCGAUGGGAAACAGGUUAAUAUUCCUGUACUUGGUGUUACUGCGAAGGGGGGACGGAGAAGGCUAUGUUGGCCGGGCGACGGUUGUCCCGGUUUAAGCGUGUAGGCUGGUUUUCCAGGCAAAUCCGGAAAAUCAAGGCUGAGGCGUGAUGACGAGGCACUACGGUGCUGAAGCAACAAAUGCCCUGCUUCCAGGAAAAGCCUCUAAGCAUCAGGUAACAUCAAAUCGUACCCCAAACCGACACAGGUGGUCAGGUAGAGAAUACCAAGGCGCUUGAGAGAACUCGGGUGAAGGAACUAGGCAAAAUGGUGCCGUAACUUCGGGAGAAGGCACGCUGAUAUGUAGGUGAAGCGACUUGCUCGUGGAGCUGAAAUCAGUCGAAGAUACCAGCUGGCUGCAACUGUUUAUUAAAAACACAGCACUGUGCAAACACGAAAGUGGACGUAUACGGUGUGACGCCUGCCCGGUGCCGGAAGGUUAAUUGAUGGGGUCAGCGCAAGCGAAGCUCUUGAUCGAAGCCCCGGUAAACGGCGGCCGUAACUAUAACGGUCCUAAGGUAGCGAAAUUCCUUGUCGGGUAAGUUCCGACCUGCACGAAUGGCGUAAUGAUGGCCAGGCUGUCUCCACCCGAGACUCAGUGAAAUUGAACUCGCUGUGAAGAUGCAGUGUACCCGCGGCAAGACGGAAAGACCCCGUGAACCUUUACUAUAGCUUGACACUGAACAUUGAGCCUUGAUGUGUAGGAUAGGUGGGAGGCUUUGAAGUGUGGACGCCAGUCUGCAUGGAGCCGACCUUGAAAUACCACCCUUUAAUGUUUGAUGUUCUAACGUGGACCCGUAAUCCGGGUUGCGGACAGUGUCUGGUGGGUAGUUUGACUGGGGCGGUCUCCUCCUAAAGAGUAACGGAGGAGCACGAAGGUUGGCUAAUCCUGGUCGGACAUCAGGAGGUUAGUGCAAUGGCAUAAGCCAGCUUGACUGCGAGCGUGACGGCGCGAGCAGGUGCGAAAGCAGGUCAUAGUGAUCCGGUGGUUCUGAAUGGAAGGGCCAUCGCUCAACGGAUAAAAGGUACUCCGGGGAUAACAGGCUGAUACCGCCCAAGAGUUCAUAUCGACGGCGGUGUUUGGCACCUCGAUGUCGGCUCAUCACAUCCUGGGGCUGAAGUAGGUCCCAAGGGUAUGGCUGUUCGCCAUUUAAAGUGGUACGCGAGCUGGGUUUAGAACGUCGUGAGACAGUUCGGUCCCUAUCUGCCGUGGGCGCUGGAGAACUGAGGGGGGCUGCUCCUAGUACGAGAGGACCGGAGUGGACGCAUCACUGGUGUUCGGGUUGUCAUGCCAAUGGCACUGCCCGGUAGCUAAAUGCGGAAGAGAUAAGUGCUGAAAGCAUCUAAGCACGAAACUUGCCCCGAGAUGAGUUCUCCCUGACUCCUUGAGAGUCCUGAAGGAACGUUGAAGACGACGACGUUGAUAGGCCGGGUGUGUAAGCGCAGCGAUGCGUUGAGCUAACCGGUACUAAUGAACCGUGAGGCUUAACCUUACAACGCCGAAGCUGUU
rnacentral:rRNA from 1 species